AGCGAACGCUGGCGGCAGGCCUAACACAUGCAAGUCGAACGAACUCUUAGGAGUUAGUGGCGGACGGGUGAGUAACACGUGGGAACGUGCCUUUAGGUUCGGAAUAACUCAGGGAAACUUGAGCUAAUACCGGAUGUGCCCUUCGGGGGAAAGAUUUAUCGCCUUUAGAGCGGCCCGCGUCUGAUUAGCUAGUUGGUGAGGUAAAGGCUCACCAAGGCGACGAUCAGUAGCUGGUCUGAGAGGAUGAUCAGCCACAUUGGGACUGAGACACGGCCCAAACUCCUACGGGAGGCAGCAGUGGGGAAUCUUGCGCAAUGGGCGAAAGCCUGACGCAGCCAUGCCGCGUGAAUGAUGAAGGUCUUAGGAUUGUAAAAUUCUUUCACCGGGGACGAUAAUGACGGUACCCGGAGAAGAAGCCCCGGCUAACUUCGUG
rnacentral:rRNA from 1 species